rnacentral:miRNA from 1 species
ACUGGACUUGGAGCCAGAAG